rnacentral:rRNA from 1 species
UACGGGGGCAAGCGUUGUUCGGAAUUACUGGGCGUAAAGGGCUCGUAGGCGGCCAACUAAGUCAGACGUGAAAUCCCUCGGCUUAACCGGGAACUGCGUCUGAUACUGGAUGGCUUGAAUCCGGGAGAGGGAUGCGGAAUUCCAGGUGUAGCGGUGAAAUGCGUAGAUAUCUGGAGGAACACCGGUGGCGAAGGCGGCAUCCUGGACCAAUAUUGACGCUGAGGAGCGAAAGCCAGGGAGCAAACGGG